UCCUCAGAGAGGUGAUGCUGACCUGGGAUGGGAAGGAAGAGAGAGGGUAAGCCAGGUAAAGGGGAGAUGGCAGGAAUGCUCCUGGCAGCAGGAAUAGCAUGUGCAAAGGCCCUGAGGCCAGAAAGCACAGGGAUCGCUGGGGAAGAGAAAGAGUGAAUAUGGCUGGAAUGUCAGUGUGGUGUGAGAUGACACCAGGCAGGAGGCAGGGUCUGGUCAGGUAGGACUUUGCAGCCUGGGGGAAAGAGGAGAAUUUUUAAGAUCCCAAUCCUGUGUUCCCCACCUGUGGGCCCCAGCUCCUCUCCCCUCUGACCAGGUUAGGUUUGUUAAUGACCAUGGGGUCUGGCCGAGGCCGAGAGGGUUGCCUAGGGAAGCUUGUGUCCUGGGGUGUCAGCUUUCUGGGUCGAGCAUCUCUUUGUCCCCUGGAAACCUGUCAACAGACCCUCUACGGGCCCAGGUCUGGCUUUAUUCAGCAGCUGUUCCUUAGCUGGGAAGAGGCUUUUAGCUUUAAUAAAAAAGGGACUAGAGAUAAGAAGACUGCCUCGUCAGGGAGAGCAGCAGUGACAGGAUGAUUUAAACGGCUUCUCUAGUGUCAUUUCUUCUGUGCAGACAUCAUAAAUCAGAUUAGCAUUGAGCUCUGGCAGGGAGGGGAGCAGGGAGAGGGGAGACGGGCCUGUGACUCUGGGUCCACCUGGCACAGGCCUGGAGCAGGUGGGGCAGCCCCAGAGGAGGCGGUGGGGUCGCCUGCUCCUGAUCCUCAGCCCCCCCACCCUGUUCUUUGGAGAAGGGGUGAGUGGAAUGACUCCCCCAGCCCAGCUUUUCAGCCCAUUCUCAGCUUUGGGGGAAAAAUGGAGAAGGACUGAUAAAAGGGUAUAGAGGAGAGAAAUGGGGGACAAGUGGAGGGGCGGGUGUGGGAGGUGGAGAGUGCAGUUCUCCUACCUAAUCACAUGUUCACAUCACCUCGAACUUUAAAAAAUACUGGUGCCUUGUACCACCCACAUGGUUUCAUGGUUCUAAGGUGCAGCUAAAGUUAAGAAAUCUUAAACUCAAAAAGUAUGUCCUCUCAAACAAUCACUCCCACCACAACCGCUCCGGUCCACCGAUUUUUCUCUGGCCUCCCCUUAAAAGUGACCACAUUGAGAGACCAGAUGGAGGUCCCUGAGAUAGAUGUGAGUGGAGAGGAGCUCCCACCUGCCCCGCUUCUCUUUCAGAUAUCACGCCACCUGGGCAAGAUGUAUAGUGAGAUGAUCUUCGUCAAUGGCUUCGUGCACUGCGAUCCCCACCCCGGCAAUGUACUGGUGCGGAAGCACCCCAGCACGGGAAAGGCGGAGAUUGUCCUGUUGGACCAUGGGCUUUACCAGGUGCUCACAGAAGAAUUCCGCCUGAAUUACUGCCACCUCUGGCAGUCUCUGAUCUGGACUGACAUGAAGAGAGUGAAGGAGUACAGCCAGCGCCUGGGAGCCGGGGAUCUCUACCCCUUGUUUGCCUGCAUGCUGACGGCGCGGUCAUGGGACUCGGUCAACAGAGGCAUCAGCCAAGCUCCCGUCACUGCCACUGAGGACUUAGAGAUUCGCAACAACGCAGCCAACUACCUCCCCCAGAUCAGCCAUCUCCUCAACCACGUGCCGCGCCAGAUGCUGCUCAUCUUGAAGACCAACGACCUGCUGCGUGGCAUUGAGGCUGCCCUGGGCACCCGUGCCAGCGCCAGCUCCUUUCUCAACAUGUCACGUUGCUGCAUCAGAGCGCUAGCUGAGCACAAGAAGAAGAAUACCUGUUCAUUCUUUAGAAGGACCCAGAUCUCUUUCAGCGAGGCCUUCAACUUAUGGCAGAUCAACCUCCAUGAGCUCAUCCUGCGUGUGAAGGGGUUGAAGCUGGCCAACCGGGUCUUGGCCCUAAUAUGCUGGCUGUUCCCUGCUCCACUCUGAGUGGAAUUGCUCUCCCUGCCCCAUUCUGGUGUCUUUCCACUCCUCAGCCCCUCGUCUUGCCUCCACCCAGCUGCUCCAUUUUUGCCACAUCGUGGCCCGCAGCCCCAGAGUCACUGUCCAUGUCACCAUCCUCCUCCUCCUUUGGAAUCCUCUCCGCACACUGUGGCCCUUGUCUCAGGGCCCACAAGCUGAACUGUGGCAUAGCUCUCUCUUCUUCUCCAAGAAGACUCAGCAGCCUACAUUCCCAUUCCUGGUAUGUGCCAUUGGGUUGGAUGUCCCCGCUACUUCCAUUAACCCUUCCCAUUGUCAAGAUGUGCCACGGGUGCCACUGGGGGCACACUGAACUUGUAGGGAGUGUGAUUUUGUUGGAGGUGAACAUGGUCUCUGAACUUGACAGAGAACACCUUCCCUUUCCUUGCCAUGUCACCCUCCAGAGGAAGUCACACCUCAGCGAGGUGGUUUGGCAUCCGGGGCCAACUCCAUUACAGCUAUGAGCUCACUGCUGUCAGUGACCUUUGGUGUUCUCUGUACUGUGUUUCAAUAAAAACUCCUUCAAGGUUGCAGGGUUUGUCCAUCAUAACUCACUGGCCUCCCACCUGACCCCAGGCACGUGCCCUUCCAGAGUGUGCUCAUGGUCCUCGCCAAGGGCUUAUGGUUCCUCUUGGUUGCUGCUUCCUCAGGGUUUCCCAGGGAGAUCUAGGGAACAGAAGGCCAGGGGCUGUUUGGUGGGAUUUUUCUUCUAGGUUGGGAGUUCACCUACAAUGCCCAUUAGGUCAGAGUGGACCUGAAUUGAGUAUUGGUGUGAUCUUCUGCUUGGCUUCUUGCUCCUGUAAUCCUUCCAACCUGUGGGGCCACUUCCUGCUUCCUGGGGGUUUCUCUCACCUUCCAAGACUCAGACUCUGGUUGGAGGAGUUAAGAAGCCCAAGGCCAGGAACUCAGAGGCUCAGCUGAAACCUUGGACCUUGUUUUUCUGUGACCUGGGCACCAACCUUGUUCUACUGUUUCCUGACUUAUUCCUUUGGUUCUCAUUCAGUGGCCCCAGUUUUAGGCCUGGAAUUCUACUUCUCUCUCCCCAGUUCUUCUGGAGACCUUAGUCCUCUUGCUGAAACCUCCGUCACUGUGGCUAGGUUUUCACUGGGAAACUUCUGUGUUUCUACCCCAUUGCUUGCUGCCAGCACUGCCUCUCCCCCCAGCCUGAUUGUCUGCUUCUGUUUCUUGGACAUCCCUAAGCUCCUGCUCUAAUUCCCAUGUCUUUGUCUUUGGCAGGUCCUACUGUCUGCUUUCACGGACAGUAAUUGUAUUUGAGCCUCUCUGAUCUUACUUCACCCAAUUCACAAGGGCAGAAAAAAUCCUGAAUUUGAGCCUAAUUUUCUGUACUCUUUAUUCAUAGUACAGCAAGAAGAUUUUUCAGUGAUCAGCGACAAUUCACAAUCCUUUUAUUUCCCGAAAGAAUUAAUUGUUCUUAGUGACCAGUUGGAUGCACCCAGGGACCUGAGAGUAUAAUUUGCAAUAUCUGAUUAUUAAUCAUGAGGAUGUGUGCUGCAUAGUAUAUUUUAUGGUGUCUUUUAUAGCCACUGAAGUAAAUAUAAAUGUCCUUUCUGUUC
rnacentral:sRNA from 1 species